CUUGCUUUCCUGGCGGCGAGUGGCGAACGGGUGAGUAACACAUCGGAACGUACCGGCUAGUGGGGGAUAACCCGUCGAAAGACGGGCUAAUACCGCAUACGCUCUUCGGAGGAAAGCAGGGGACCUUUGGGCCUUGCGCUAGCCGAGCGGCCGAUGUCCGAUUAGCUAGUUGGUGGGGUAAAGGCCUACCAAGGCGACGAUCGGUAGCGGGUCUGAGAGGACGAUCCGCCACACUGGGACUGAGACACGGCCCAGACUCCUACGGGAGGCAGCAGUGGGGAAUCUUGGACAAUGGGGGCAACCCUGAUCCAGCAAUGCCGCGUGGGUGAAGAAGGCCUUCGGGUUGUAAAGCCCUUUCGGCAGGGAAGAAAUCGGCGGGGCGAAUAACCCUGCUGGAUGACGGUACCUGCAGAAGAAGCACCGGCUAACUACGUGCCAGCAGCCGCGGUAAUACGUAGGGUGCGAGCGUUAAUCGGAUUUACUGGGCGUAAAGCGUGCGCAGGCGGCCCGUUAAGACAGGUGUGAAAUCCCUGGGCUCAACCUAGGAAUUGCGCUUGUGACUGGCGGGCUCGAGUACGGUAGAGGGGGGUGGAAUUCCUGGUGUAGCAGUGAAAUGCGUAGAGAUCAGGAGGAACACCGAUGGCGAAGGCAGCCCCCUGGGCCUGUACUGACGCUCAUGCACGAAAGCG
rnacentral:rRNA from 1 species